rfam:Triticum aestivum genome assembly, contig: Triticum_aestivum_CS42_TGACv1_scaffold_437130_5DL
AUAUUACUCCAUCUGUUCGAAAAUACUUGUCGGAAAAAUAAAUGUAUCUAGAUGUAUUUUACUUCUAGAUAUAUUCAUUUUUAUUCAUUUCUGCAACAACUAAUUCCAGACAGAAGGGGCACUUU